rnacentral:misc_RNA from 1 species
GAUGAAGAACGUAGUGAAAUGCGAUAAGUAAUGUGAAUUGCAGAAUUCAGUGAAUCAUCGAAUCUUUGAACGCACAUUGCGCCCCUUGGUAUUCCAUGGGGCAUGCCUGUUCGAGCGUCAUUUGUACCUUCAAGCUCUGCUUGGUGUUGGGUGUUUGUCCUUGCUCUAGUGGCGGGACUCGCCUUAAAGUAAUUGGCAGCCAGUGUUUUGGUUUUGAAGCGCAGCACAAGUCGCGAUUCAAGUCUAUACGCUAGUUUCCACAAGUCUUUUAUCACUUUUGACCUCGGAUCAGGUAGGGAUACCCGCUGAACUUAAGCAUAUCAAUAAGCGGAGGA